rnacentral:rRNA from 1 species
UACAGAGGUCUCAAGCGUUGUUCGGAUUCAUUGGGCGUAAAGGGCGCGUAGGCUGCGGGGCAAGUCGGGUGUGAAAUCUCAGAGCUCAACUCUGAAACUGCACUCGAUACUGCUUGCUUGAGGACUGGAGAGGAGAUUGGAAUUCACGGUGUAGCAGUGAAAUGCGUAGAUAUCGUGAGGAAGACCAGUGGCGAAGGCGGAUCUCUGGA